rnacentral:rRNA from 1 species
GAGCUUCGGUUUAAUUGGAUUCAACACCGGAAAUCUUACCGGGACCGACAGCAAUAUGAAGGCCAGGCUGAAGACUUUGCCGGAUUAGCUGAGAGGUGGUGCAUGGCCGUCGUCAGUUCGUACUGUGAAGCAUCCUGUUAAGUCAGGCAACGAGCGAGACCCACGCCCACAGUUGCCAGCGUACUCUCUGGAGUGACGGGUACACUGUGGGGACCGCCGCUGCUAAAGCGGAGGAAGGAAUGGGCAACGGUAGGUCAGUAUGCCCCGAAUAUCCCGGGCUACACGCGAGCUACAAUGGUUGGUACAAUGGGUAUCUACCCCGAAAGGGGACGGGAAUCUCCUAAAACCAAUCUUAGUUCGGAUUGAGGGCUGCAACUCGCCCUCAUGAAGCUGGAAUCCGUAGUAAUCGCGUUUCAACAGAACGCGGUGAAUACGUCCCUGCUCCUUGCACACACCGCCCGUCAAACCACCCGAGUAGGGUCUGAAUGAGAGCGCUUUC